ACUCCUACGGGAGGCAGCAGUGGGAAUAUUGCACAAUGGGCGGAAGCCUGAUGCAGCAACGCCGCGUGCGGGAUGACGGCCUUCGGGUUGUAAACCGCUUUCGCCUGUGACGAAGCGUGAGUGACGGUAAUGGGUAAAGAAGCACCGGCUAACUACGUGCCAGCAGCCGCGGUGAUACGGAGGGUGCGAGCGUUAAUCGGAAUUACUGGGCGUAAAGCGCAUGCAGGUGGUUUGUUAAGUCAGAUGUGAAAGCCCGGGGCUCAACCUCGGAAUAGCAUUUGAAACUGGCAGACUAGAGUACUGUAGAGGGGGUAGAAUUUCAGGUGUAGCGGUGAAAUGCGUAGAGAUCUGAAGGAAUACCGGUGGCGAAGGCGGCCCCCUGGACAGAUACUGACACUCAGAUGCGAAAGCGUGGGGAGCAAACAGGAUUAGAUACCCUGGUAGCGACUGAU
rnacentral:rRNA from 1 species